rnacentral:lncRNA from 1 species
CUUACUAUUAUAGCUCUCCUCCUCCACCGUAUGAGUAUAAAUCUCCACCGCCUCCCGUUGAAUCUCCUCCACCUCCUUAUGAAUACAAAUCUCCUCCCCCUCCGGUUAAGUCUCCACCACCACCGUAUUACUAUCAUUCACCGCCGCCGCCGGUGAAAUCCCCUCCCCCUCCUUAUGUUUACCACUCUCCUCCUCCUCCGGUGAAGUCUCCUCCACCUCCUUAUGUAUACCACUCUCCUCCUCCUCCGGUAAAGUCUCCUCCACCGCCAUAUUACUACCACUCUCCUCCUCCUCCGGUGAAGUCUCCUCCACCACCAUAUUAUUAUCACUCUCCACCACCACCAGUGAAAUCUCCUCCUCCUCCUUACUAUUAUCAUUCUCCACCUCCUCCGGUCAAGUCUCCACCACCGCCAUAUUACUACCACUCUCCACCUCCUCCGGUAAAGUCUCCACCACCACCUUACUACUACCAUUCUCCACCUCCUCCGGUAAAGG